rnacentral:ncRNA from 2 species
CGCUCAUCCAGAGGGGCAGAGGGACACGGCCCGAUGAAGCCCCGGCAACCCUCCAGCCGGUCUCGUCUUCGAACAGCGAGGCUCCCGGCUAGGGAAGGUGCCAAAUCCGUCUCGCGGCGAGAUGCGUCGCGAGGAAGAUGAGGA